UCGAGAGGCUUCGGCAAUGGGGGAAACCCUGACCGAGCGACGCCGCGUGGGGGAUGAAGGCCCUUGGGUUGUAAACCCCUUUUGUUCGGAAAGAAAUGCGAUCAGGUUAAUAAUCUGGUCGUUUGACGUUACCGACAGAAUAAGCACCGGCUAACUCUGUGCCAGCAGCCGCGGUAAUACAGAGGGUGCAAGCGUUAAUCGGAAUUACUGGGCGUAAAGCGCGCGUAGGUGGUUCAUUAAGUUGGAUGUGAAAUCCCCGGGCUCAACCUGGGAACUGCAUUCAAAACUGACGAGCUAGAGUAUGGUAGAGGGUGGUGGAAUUUCCUGUGUAGCGGUGAAAUGCGUAGAUAUAGGAAGGAACACCAGUGGCGAAGGCGACCACCUGGACUGAUACUGACACUGAGGUGCGAAAGCGUGGGGAGCAAACAGGAUUAGAUACCCGAGUAGUCCCUGAGCGGGCUGGCAAGGCGCAU
rnacentral:rRNA from 1 species